CGAAAUAGCUGAGUUGGGAGAGCCUUAGACUAUGGAUCGAAAAAUCCCUGGUUCGAUCCCGGGCUCUUUUUUGA
rnacentral:tRNA from 1 species